CGGUAAUCGGAAGUCUACUGGACGAAUGCGGGAACGUUGCGAUAUUUCCUGCUUAAUAUUUUCAGGCACAAUGAAUGAUAUUAAGGGCAGGUGCGCCACAUUGGGGGAAGAUGCAAAGCAGAAAUACAUUCAAGAGGCAGCAGCACUGAGGGCACAUGGGCAGUCACAGGACACUAAACCCUGAGAUGGAGGCAAUUUGUGCUGUGUCUGCCGCAUCCAUUUUUAUGAUAAGAAGAAGAAUGCAAGAAAGAAGUGGCAUUCAUGGUCUCAGUGCACAGUGUGCCAAUCAUGGUCACACACAGCAUGUGGCUU